GGCUGUGUAGCAUAGUGGUAAGGAGCAGGGCUCGUAACCAAAAGGUUAUUGGUUCGAUUCCCAGCUGGGGCA
rnacentral:tRNA from 1 species